rnacentral:rRNA from 1 species
UACGGAGGGUGCGAGCGUUGUCCGGAAUCACUGGGCGUAAAGGGCGCGUAGGCGGCGGGGUAAGCGUGCGGUGAAAGCCCGGGCUCAACCCCGGGUCGGCCGUGCGGACUGCCGGGCUGGAGCACUGUAGAGGCAGGUGGAAUUCCGGGUGUAGCGGUGGAAUGCGUAGAGAUCCGGAAGAACACCGGUGGCGAAGGCGGCCUGCUGGGCAGUAGCUGACGCUGAAGCGCGACAGCGUGGGGAGCAAACAGG